UACGAGGGGGGCGAGCGUUGUUCGGAAUUAUUGGGCGUAAAGGGCGCGUAGGCGGCUCAUGAAGGCUGUGGUGAAAGUCCGGGGCUCAACCUCGGAUCGGCCGUGGCGACUCGUGGGCUGGAGCACUGUAGAGGCGGGUGGAAUUCCGGGUGUAGCGGUGGAAUGCGUAGAGAUCCGGAAGAACACCAGUGGCGAAGGCGGCCCGCUGGGCAGUGGCUGACGCUGAGGCGCGACAGCGUGGGGAGCAAACAGG
rnacentral:rRNA from 1 species